GAAAGUCGGAUGAAGAGGUGGUGGACGGUGAGGACCAAUCAUUAUAGCUGCUGCUCCAUUAUUUACGCUCCUCGAAAAGCUCCCUGAGCCCGAACAACAAUGGGAUCUUCCUCUGAGGUUCACACUACUCCAGACUGAUCCCGGAGAGGAGAACAAGCCUUCGAGCACGUGGCCACGUGCUCGUCAACUCCAUGCCGGCCGCUCCAAGCGCCCCUGCUUCGUGUCUUUGAGGCAGGCGCCGAGAUAGCCUUUGCAGCGAGCUGUGGUGUGUGGACUCUGCGGCGAGAUGGGAUUCAGAAUCCUUUUCCGUGGUGAGAUAACCCUGCCACCACUCAUAUGCCAUUGCAUAUAAGUGAAUCUGUUUUAUAGAAAUCAAUCUUGCACGUUGGUUAGCUCCGUAAUUUCUUUUAUUCUGUAGCAGAAUGAGUUGCUCACAGCCUAUUUGCUGGAACGCCAACGAGGAGUCAUUUUUCCAUCUCCACAAAUAUUCUUGGUCUCUUCAAAUUAAUUGCUUCUUAAUCCAACUACCAUUUUUCAAGAUUAGUUCGUUUAUAUAAUAUUUAUUUUUGUACCAGUGUUGAUCAAGUAGGUUAUUAUUGUGAGGAAUCAGCAGUAGGAUGCACAUGUAUUUGUUUCUUGCCACUGGUUGCAAAAGCCUAAAAAAUGAUAUGUUUUAUUUACCUCUUAACAGUAAUACGAGUAUUUUGUUUAUUUCCUACUCCCUUUUAGUGAUUACUGAUUAGUCACUCUUAAAGGUGAAUGCAUGUGUAUAAUAGGUGUGUCAUGGCUGCAUUUUGCGGCCCCUGACUACUGGAAAGUAAUCUCCUUUGGAUGAUUUGUAUUUUUUUUUCUGGAAUUUGUACUUAGAUAGCACAUCCAAGGAAGGAAGGAGAUUGAGGUCGGCACCUCCUGAAGGCAUGCAUGCUCUUCACCGAGAGAGGGAAGGGCAUCUUUUUCUUGGGUUGCAGUUUCCACCUUGUUGUUGGGUGAGA
rnacentral:lncRNA from 1 species